UCUUAAAAGGCUAAAGUAAUGACUCCAAUACCUAUUUCGAAGAGCAUAGGCCAAAAGAUUGGCCACCUCACAUAAAGAAUAUCCUAGCACCAACUUUAUGGGCGAGUUGUCACUUCGAUUGGCACUCACAAUGUAGAACUAAAACAAGCCAUGUGAUCUGAUACCAUAGUGUAAGAAUGAUAUAUGAUGUCUUAUUUACAUGGCCCC
rnacentral:lncRNA from 1 species